GCAUCGAAGCUGCGGAACACGUGCUGGGCGUAGGCCUUGGGGUCGGCGUCGGGGAAGAACUUGGAGUAGAUGGUCUGGAACUCCUGCUGGGUGAUGCGGCCACUGGGACACUCCUUCAGGAAGGACUGGUACCAGGUACUCAGCUCUUCCUCUGUGAACCUGGUGUUCAGCUGCAGCUCCUCCAGGAUCUCCUUGGACAGGGCUCCGCUUUUGCUGUUCCCCAUGGGUGAGCAGGUGUGGGCCCAGCCGGUCUGUCGCCGCUGGGUGGGUGGGUGUGUGGGAGGAAUGGGGUCUCCGGGCUGCCUGGCUGGGUGCUGCUGGAGGCGGUUGCACCCUGAGAUGCUGGUGGAUUAGGCGGAUUUGUGGCUGGUUCACCCCUGUACUUGGAGGGAGGAGGGGCCCGGAGCUUGAGUGGGGAGACGAGCUCCCAGAAGCCCCCUGAGAUUAAAAUAAAGAGCUGACAGCAGGAGGUCAAUCCCUCUUGGCCUUCUGGGAGGAUAGGACAGGUGAUCCGAAUCUUCAGAGCCGCAGCCUUGAGCCGAGGCCUUUCCCACUGCCCCUCACCCAUCCCUGCGCCAACUUACCCCACCAGCUCUAGCUCUCUAAGAGCAACGAUGUUCCCUGCCUGCCUUCUGAGGGUCUCAGCGACAGGGAUGGCCCUGUAAUGCAGGGGUCAGGAGCCAGGCUCUGGAAGCAGCCCAGGUUCAAAUCUCAGCUUUGCAAUUUACUAGCUGUGUGACCCCAGGUGCGUUUCUUAACGUCUCUCUGCCUAGAAUUCUCUUCCCCUAAUCUUUCACCUCCUUCACGGCUUUCCUUAAAUGUCGCCUUCUCGGCCAGGCCUAUAGUGACCAUUCUGUCAACAAGAGCACCCCAACCGUCAGGCUGUUUAUCCUGCUUGACUGCUCUUCCUUGAUCGCACGUGCACCUUCUGACUUACUGUUUACGUAUUCUGCCUGCUGCCUGGGAUCGCACCAGAAUGAAAGCGCCAUGAAGGCGGGGAUUCUAUCUGUCUUGUUGCCCGCUGCAUCUCCAUCGACAGAAGGGUAUCUGGCGGGUUUGGGCCCUCAGUGACUAUUCUUUGAGUGAACAGGCAUGAUAAUAGCGUCUCUCCCACUGUUAUUGUGAGGCUGAAACGAGUUAAUACGUGCAAUGCAUUUAGAAUAGGGCCUGGCACGUAGUAAGAGCUGAAUGCAUGUUAGUUUUUGCCAUUCUUCUUCUAUGACAGGGAUCAAAAACUAAACUGCUUACAGGGGCCAGCAAGUGGAGUGUGUGAGUGAAGCCGGGGGUCAGGGAGGCAGUAGGCGUGGUGAGGCCCACGCCUGCAUGGCAGGGGCUGCCAGUGUUUGACUCCAUUUGAAUGUGGUCAGAUGGGAUUAUGGCCUGGUGUUACUAGAUUUUUUGGUAAGCCAAAAGAAAUCCAGAAAUCAGAUUUUCAGGUUUGAAAAUUGCAAUCUGGAAAUUUGGAAAUUUGGAAAAAUUGGAAAUUUGCAAUUUCCAAACUUUAAGAGUGAUUUCCAAAUUUUCAAAAAUUUUCAAAAACAUAGGGUGGGAUAAAUAUAACUUAUCUGUGGCUCCGUUUCAGCAGCAGGUCAUCAGUUUGCAACCAAGCCUGGUGCCAGGAGCUGGCAGACAACAUGCUUGUUGAGUGAGUGACUGGACAAGCAGGGGACAGGGAGCUCCACCAGGGGAGGCUUCCGCCGCUGCGGUCAGCUCGGUCAGCAGGACAGGCCACAGGGAAGAGCCCUCGUGAGUAGGUUUGCACCUUAAAUCUCAUCACCCAGAGGAGAGGUCGGUGGCGCCCUGGCUUGGCUGGGCAUAACGCCUGGAACCCCAGAAUCACCGUCUUGGAUGGGAGAGAUGUCUCUUCUUUGUCCAGGGGUGGUAACUAUGAAGAAUAAAGCCCACAGUGUCUAGGCGGGUGAGUCGGGGUUUUUAUCCUAUUUCGUAACAGGCUAAUGGCAGGGGAAAGCAGGUCCCCGCUGCUGGGAGAAAGCCCCCUGCCAGCCUCCCCUGGUGUUGCUCAGAAAGGACCCGGAAGUUCAGGCACAGAUGUGCUGACCUCUCCCUCCUGCCCACCCCACCCACUGCGGGUCCAGAGUGUUUCUCAGGAGGCCUUCAUGUUAGGGGGUGGGGUGCGUAUGUGUGUGUCAUUAUUUUUUCCCAUCAGUUUGUGACAGCAUAUCAUUUCUUGAAAGGAGCCCUUUCUCUCUGUCUAGACUUUCACUAUCUUGCAGCAUUUGUUCUCCAGAGCAGCUGGAAACAGGACAGUCACUGAACUCAAAAACAAACAAACAAACAAAAGCCAGGCCAUGAAAGUGAGGCCAGAGGCCUUCACCCUGGCCUCUGAACCUGGCAUGGGAGGUGAUUAGAAGUGCCUCCUGGGUAUCCACACCGAGACUGCAGGUGAGGCGAGGCCGAUGUCACAGGAAGAAACCAAGCUCCAAAAGGAUGUCACCUGCCUGUGUCACACAGUUGCCAAAUGGCGAAGCCAGGAGGAAAGCCCAGGGCGGCCUCUCCACUGAGGGCUCUUUUCAAGACAUUACAGCCGCCUCCCUUCUCAAGGAGGCCUGAGCAGAGGGGUCAAGAAGCCGCAUUUCUGAAGACACAGGCUCUUCCCAGAGGCUGGCCCUGUCCCACCCCAAGCUGGGAGUCCCCCAGCUCCCAUCCCGUUCCUCUACCUUCCCCUGCGUGAGCUGAACGGCAAGCAGACCCUUCGACCCCGGCCAGGAAGCAGAGAGCUAGAAAAUAAGUUCCAUGAGGUCAGGGUUCUUGAUCUGUUUUCAUCACUGAUGUGUUCCCAGUACUGAGAGCAGUGUCUGACAUACAGUGGUGUUCAAUAAUUAUUGGAUGGAUGGAUGGAUAAGAAAAGAAAUAACAGCCAGGAGCCUCUUCCGUUCACAGGGGUCCAAGGAGGAACUACCUCAUUCUCAACAGCUCACGAAACUCGUAAGUUUUUGUGUCUGAACAGAGAAGCGCCUGGGUAUCCCUCUCAUGAGGGUGUUAGGUGACAUCGCGCACAGCCGUGCUGAUGGGACACAGAUUGGGCAUGACGUGGGCACAGGGUACAAAACUGGAGGUGCCAAGGGGAGGAGACAGAACGCAGCAGCUGGAGGAGGCCUGGGAGACCGUCUAGAACGAACACCUUCAGUUUGCCGAUGAAGGAACAGAGAUCCAGGAGAGGGUGGUGAUGGGCUCCCUGUCUUCUCAUCCACGCUCCCUCCACCCACCUUCCACACCCUCUAACCCUCACCAAAUGGCAGGGACUGGGCAAGUUGAAGGGAGGGUCCCCAGAAGCAAGUAGAACUACCAGCUGAGAUGCCAGCGGAAAUGGAGGGCAGUGGAGACCCUGCCCGCCCCCUCCCCCCUCCCCCAGCAGCUUUCUGCAUCAUCAAAAACCUAAAAUGAUCCGAAAACGCAGGCGUGAGCCCCAAGAACCGCUCGUGGGCGCCGCUGGCUGAAAGCAGCCGUGCAAACGAGCUUAAGACCCCAGGCCAGGAACUUUGGGGGCAGACAACUCAUUUUAAAAGCAAGGAUGCACCCAUGCAACGGACCGCUACUCGGAGAUAUAAGGGGACAAGCUACUGACAUCCAGCCACAAGGUGACGCAGAGGCAACGGGCCGAGUGACGGAGGCCAGACUCUAAGGCUACUGCCGUGUGGCUCCACUUCUAUGACAUUCUAGAAAAGGCGAAUCUGCAGGGUCAGAAAAUCCAUCAGUGGUCACCAGGUGCUGGGGGUGGGAGGAGUGGAUGGACAUCAAAGGAGCCUGAGGGGAUGUUCUGGAGUGAUGGAAAUACCACGUUGAUUUCGGUGCUGGUUACAAGGCUGUGUACCUUUGUCAAAAUUCACUGAACUGUAGACUUCAAAAGGGUGAAUUAUACUGUAUGUCAAUGAACCCCCGAUACCAAACGUCAAAGAUCUCAAUAAACUUGUGAAAAGAAAAGGCAGGGGGACUUGUAAGGGCGGGGAGGUUUAUGGAAAUAAGACAGUAUGCCGGCUAAGGAAGCCGGCCGCUGGUCUGCGCCCCACUUAACAUUUGUCCGAGGCUUUCCCUA